rnacentral:misc_RNA from 1 species
UUCAACCACAACAAAAUUGACAUUUACAGACCCACUGGAAGAAUUCAGUAAGUUCAACCUUUCGGGAAGCACAAAUCGACUUGGUUCAUCAAACAUCUCUGCACAAAGGCCCCCUCCAAAACCAGGACAAGUGUUGAAGAGUAACAAAGGAUGCAAAAUAAUGUCAAUAUAUGCUCAAGGGGAGCAAGGGAGAGACAAACUGCAAAAGCAAGUAAAUAUAAAGAAGCUGAAGAUUCUGCACAGAAGAAUCACC